UACAGAGGUCCCGAGCGUUGUUCGGAUUCCCUGGGCGUAAAGGGUGCGUCGGUGGUGAGGUAAGUCGGAUGUGAAAUCUCCGGGCUCAACCCGGAAAUGGCAUUGGAAACUACCUUGCUGGAGGAUUUGAGGGGGGAUUGGAAUACUUGGUGUAGCAGUGAAAUGCGUAGAUAUCAAGUGGAACACCAGUGGCGAAGGCGAAUCCCUGGAAAAUACCUGACACUGAGGCACGAAAGCUAGGGGAGCAAACAGG
rnacentral:rRNA from 1 species